AGUGAACGCUGGCGGUAGGCCUAACACAUGCAAGUCGAACGGCAGCACAGUAAGAGCUUGCUCUUACGGGUGGCGAGUGGCGGGCGGGUGAGGAAUACAUCGGAAUCUACUUUUUCGUGGGGGAUAACGUAGGGAAACUUACGCUAAUACCGCAUACGACCUACGGGUGAAAGCAGGGGAUCUUCGGACCUUGCGCGAUUGAAUGAGCCGAUGUCGGAUUAGCUAGUUGGCGGGGUAAAGGCCCACCAAGGCGACGAUCGGUAGCUGGUCUGAGAGGAUGAUCAGCCACACUGGAACUGAGACACGGUCCAGACUCCUACGGGAGGCAGCAAUGGGGAAUAGUGGACAAUGGGCGCAAGCCUGAUCCAGCCAUACCGAGUGGGUGAAGAAGGCCUUCGGGUUGUAAAGCCCUUUUGUUGGGAAAGAAAAGCAGCAGGUUAAUACCCCGCUGUUCUGACGGUACCCAAAGAAUAAGGACCGGCUAACUUCGUG
rnacentral:rRNA from 1 species